AGAUUGAACGCUGGCGGCAGGCCUAACACAUGCAAGUCGAGCGGUAGAGAGGUGCUUGCAUCUCUUGAGAGCGGCGGACGGGUGAGUAAUGCCUAGGAAUCUGCCUAGUGGUGGGGGAUAACGUUCGGAAACGGACGCUAAUACCGCAUACGUCCUACGGGAGAAAGCGGGGGACCUUCGGGCCUCGCGCCAUUAGAUGAGCCUAGGUCGGAUUAGCUAGUUGGUGAGGUAAUGGCUCACCAAGGCGACGAUCCGUAACUGGUCUGAGAGGAUGAUCAGUCACACUGGAACUGAGACACGGUCCAGACUCCGUACGGGAGCAGCAGUGGGGAAUAGUU
rnacentral:rRNA from 1 species